rnacentral:rRNA from 1 species
UGGCGGACGGGUGAGUAACGCGUGAGCAACCUGCCCUUCGGAGGGGGAUAGUGUCUGGAAACGGACAGUAAUACCGCAUAACGUAUUGAUACCGCAUGAUAUUGAUACCAAAACUGAGGUGCCGAAGGAUGGGCUCGCGUUGGAUUAGAUAGUUGGUGGGGUAACGGCCUACCAAGUCGACGAUCCAUAGCCGGACUGAGAGGUUGAACGGCCACAUUGGGACUGAGACACGGCCCAGACUCCUACGGGAGGCAGCAG